rnacentral:lncRNA from 1 species
CUUUCCAUUUUGGGUUUUGGAGUCUUUUUGUUUUCAAUGAAUAUUACAGACUUUAUGUUUGAAUUUGUAUUUUUUUUUUGUGGGAAAUGAUGAACAUUUCAUCCUGGUGCCUACAGCUAGUUCCAUAUAUUUGUUUUAAGGAGAUACUAAGAGCCGAGAUUCAACAAGUUUCUUGAUAAGAGUUUGUCCGUUUUUGGGUAGGGAUGAGGAAGAAAGAAGAUGUUGAAGAUGAUUGUAUCAUAAAAUUUCCUUUUUUUUCCUGAUAUCGGAAAAGAUGGUACAUAGUUUGAUUUGUUUUGGGAGGAAAGAUCCAAAUUUUGGAUAUGGGUUAGCUAUUUCAGUUGUGUAUCUACAGAUUUUUGCCACGUGCCAGUUUGGAAUUGAGUCUGAUUGUCCGUUAAAAGGAGGGGCAAAAAUAUUAAAAAGAUAACGGCAAUGGCAAAUAUCUUCGAAUAUUAUAACGGGGGAUAUAUAUAACUAAUAUUUAAUAGUAGAUGGAUAAAUAUGACAUUUUCCCGUAUGAAUUAAGUGUUUAUAAGCCAAAACUAAGUUAAAACUAUAAGUUGGUCCC